rnacentral:rRNA from 1 species
CUUUACUCUAGCUUGGCACUGAGUCGUACAUAUAUUUGUGCAGGAUAGGUGGGAGACUAUGAAAGAUGGACGCCAGUUCAUCUCGAGUCGUCGUUGAGAUACCACCCUUGUAUAUGUAUGCCUCUAACCCCUUUUUGGGGGGCCGUGCUUGGUGGGGAGUUUAACUGGGGCGGUUGCCUCCUAAAACGUAACGGAGGCGCACAAAGGUAGGCUAGGUCCGGAUGGAAAUCGGACUGGUCGUGUAUUCGCACAAGCCUGCUUGACUGAGAGACCUACAAGUCGAUCAGAGACGAAAGUCGGUGAAAGUGAUCCGGCACCAACAUGUGGGAGUGGUGUCGCUCAACGGAUAAAAGUUA